rnacentral:rRNA from 1 species
GACGUAGGGCGCGAGCGUUGUCCGGAUUUAUUGGGCGUAAAGAGCUCGUAGGCGGCUUGUCGCGUCGACUGUGAAAACCCGAGGCUCAACUUCGGGCUUGCAGUCGAUACGGGCAGGCUAUAGUUCGGUAGGGGAGACUGGAAUUCCUGGUGUAGCGGUGAAAUGCGCAGAUAUCAGGAGGAACACCGAUGGCGAAGGCAGGUCUCUGGGCCGAUACUGACGCUGAGGAGCGAAAGCGUGGAGAGCGAACAGG